UUCUUUCUAAUCCCUCCCCAUCGCGUCGCUCCGUUGGGCUUUAAGCGAAAGUUUGGCUCGAAGCGCUGUCCCGCAGAGGGCGGAGGGGAGGAAGUGGCGGCACUCCGCUGCGGGGCAGCCCCGCCGCUCCUCCCCCUCCUCCCGGGCUGCGGUAUUUAUCCCCGCACACCGCCCCGCACGCCGUCCUGCUGCACGUCGGGGGGCUGCGACGCGGUUCUGCCCCAGUGCUGGCACAGCCUCUCCGCUCCUUUCUGUUUUACUUUUCUCCCCCUCGCCCUCCCCUUCAUCUUUCUCCUCUAUGCGGGAAAGCCUUGCCAGCUGGGGAAGGCUGGGAGGGCAGAGAGCCUCCGCAGGCUGCAGAUAAAGAAAGCGGAGGAGGAGAGAAAGGAAUUCGGGGCGGCUGUGGACGCGUGGAGUAGCACUCACUUGCUGGGACUCCACGUGAGGCUGGGGACGGGACGAUGGGCUCCCCGUGUGCGCGCUGCCUAAUUCUAGCCAUGUGCUGGGAAAAAAGAAAAAGGGCUCUGUGAUGAUAAUCUGGCCUGUGAGUAAAUGUGGUGUCAUGGGAGCCGAGGGACCCCAGAGGAGAGAUGUUGCAACUCCAGCCAGUUCCAGCCAAG